UACGUAGGGUGCGAGCGUUAAUCGGAAUUACUGGGCGUAAAGCGUGCGCAGGCGGUUUUUUAAGCCAGAUGUGAAAUCCCCGGGCUCAACCUGGGAAUGGCAUUUGGGACUGCAAGGCUUGAGUGCGGCAGAGGAGACUGGAAUUCCUGGUGUAGCAGUGAAAUGCGUAGAUAUCGCUUGGAACGCCAACGGUGAAAACAGGUUGCUGGGGGUGUGCUGACGCUGAGACACGAAAGCCAGGGGAGCGAACGGG
rnacentral:rRNA from 1 species